UCACAGGCGUGAGCCACCGCGCCCCUCUACGUUUUUAUUUAUUCCUAAUAACUACUUUAUUGUGAUUCUUAAAGAGCUUUAACUUUUCUUGAGAUAAUUUUAAACUCACAGGAAAGGUGAAGAAUAAUACCAAGAGAGACUAACAGCAGGACGGCAUGAAGAGCUCGGGAUUCACCCCUAGUGAAACUGAAAAUUAUUUAAAACAACAAACAACCAUUAACCAUUUAAAGCCUUUGAAAUGGUCCUAAGGGCAAACAGCAAAUGAAGAAACAUCUGUUCCAAAAAAUCUAUGAAAACUCUUGGAUCAGAAUGUGAGAGUCAGUCUGUGGUAUUUAAACCAAACCUCUCCCUUUGUUCAGCAAGAGACUCCACUCCAGACUGCUGCAACUCAGAACCUCUCUCUUCCCACAGCUCCCAGUCAGAGACCAGCAUAUCAGCAUUUCUCAUCUUGCCCCUAGCUACCUGAUGCUGAAGGUUAAAGAUGAGAACAAAAGGAAGAUUUCAAGCUGGAAUUGCAGAAGGAGGAUUUGAGAUUAAUGCUGGGUCUGAAAAUUGAGCAAAGGUGUAAUGGUUGCAAUGCAUUGGCACGAUCUCAGCUGACUGCAACCUCC
rnacentral:lncRNA from 1 species